rnacentral:rRNA from 1 species
GACGGAGGGGGCUAGCGUUGUUCGGAAUGACUGGGCGUAAAGGGCGCGUAGGCGGCCAAUUAAGUGAGGCGUGAAAGCCCUGGGCUUAACCCAGGAAUAGCGUUUCAUACUGGAUGGCUUGAGUACGAGAGAGGAAAGUGGAAUUCCUAGUGUAGAGGUGAAAUUCGUAGAUAUUAGGAAGAACACCAGAGGCGAAGGCGGCUUUCUGGCUCGUAACUGACGCUGAGGCGCGAAAGCGUGGGGAGCAAACAGG